AACCGACCGUCGGACCUCCGACCGUCAGGCCCCCCGUCCGUAUAAAGAUUCUACUAUUCUUAUACGAGAAUGUUUAGUAAAUUAAAAACACACUGAAACAAUGAGAACCGUUUGAGUGGAAUUUAUUAAGUUUACAUAACAGGCAUUUAGCAGACAGAGCGAUUCACACAGCAUAGCAUUUACAUUGAAUACAUUAAUACAGUUGUAUAUAUUCUGGAGCAAUGCAGGCGAAGUACCUUACUUAAGGGUACUACCUUUAAAUGACAUCAUUUUGAUUAUGUGAAAGCCUUAUUCGAGAAUUUUGAAAAUUUCGGAUUGUCACAAGUUUCGUAUAAGAUAAUUUUGAGAAUCCAGUCAUUAACGGCGGCGCUUGAACGGCGCUACUGGCAACGACGCUCCACUGACGCAAGCUGGGCGAACCGCCGCUGCGAUGAGGAAGAAAGCUGGGGGAACGGUAGCGGCAGACGUGUGGCUCCACGCACGCCGGGGCUAUCCGCAGUUCGGCGCAGCGGAGCAGGAGGAGCUGGCGCUGCACACCUUCCUGCGAACCCGUACAGCGGAGCGGCUGCGCCAGCAUGUCCGCCUCAUCACACCCGGCUGGCAUUGAGCAUGUGGAUUCUAACCGCAGACGUCGCGGCUGACAUUGAGCAUGUGGAUAGCGCUCCAGCGCACUCUGUGACCAGGAGGUUUCUCUUCUCGCAGCUCCUUCCAGCUGUUUCUGCAGCACAGUAUGCUGGGUCACAGACAGGUGGAGGCAGUCAGUCAGUCCAUCAGCAGCUGAUCACUGGAGCAGGACUCCAAAUCACUGGGAGAGAGAAGCACAGGAUCACCAGCAGGGGGCAGCAAAGUCACCACCACACAAAAAUUACAGAACUGAUAUUAAAAGUAAUUUCAUAUCA